AUCACUUCCUCCUGAGUUGGCCCUGCCUUGGGACACUCACUCUUGAACCCCAGCCACCAUGUUGGGAGGAAGCCCAAAGGGGUCGACAGUGGGAGCCCAUGAGGAGAGGCGCAGGUGGAGAGGAGCUGAUGCCCCAGCCUAGAGCCAGCAUCCACCCCAGACACAGGUGAAGACGUCCCACUCACUCCCCUCCCACACCCCCGGCGAUGGACAGCUCACCGGAGCAGAGGCCAACAGCCUCUCGUUUUGUUAGUCUUGAAGUUGGGUGGAUGUAAGCCUGAAGUUCCAGGAGGCCACCAAGGUUGGGCUGGGAGUAAAGCCAGGGAGGAGAACAGAGCUGAUGAAAGGAGAGAGAGACACCAAGUUCUGAUGACAUCCACAUGCUCUGGCUUUUUGGAUACUUGAGUUACACUUCUUCUCUGUCGCUUAGGCCAGUUUGAAUUAGAUUUCUGUUGCUUGCAACCACAGCAGUCCUAAAUAAUAUACCAUU
rnacentral:lncRNA from 1 species